UACAGAGGUCUCACGCGUUGUUCGGAUUCAUUGGGCGUAAAGGGUGCGUAGGCGGCGCGGUAAGUCGGGUGUGAAAUCUCGGAGCUUAACUCCGAAACUGCAUUCGAUACUGCCGUGCUUGAGGACUGGAGAGGAGACUGGAAUUUACGGUGUAGCGGUGAAAUGCGUAGAGAUCAUGAGGAAGACCAGUGGCGAAGGCGGGUCUCUGGACAGUUCCUGACACUGAGACACGAAGGCCAGGGGAGCAAACGGG
rnacentral:rRNA from 1 species